rnacentral:rRNA from 1 species
GACGAACGCUGGCGGCGUGCUUAACACAUGCAAGUCGAACGAGACGAUUUAGAAGCUUGCUUUUAUUGAGUCGAGUGGCAAACGGGUGAGUAACGCGUAGACAACCUGCCGCAAAGAUGGGGACAACAGUCCGAAAGGACUGCUAAUACCGAAUGUUGUAUCUCCUCCGCAUGGAAGAGAUAUUAAAGAUGGCCUCUACUUGUAAGCUAUCGCUUUGCGAUGGGUCUGCGUCUGAUUAGCUAGUUGGUGGGGCAACGGCCUACCAAGGCGACGAUCAGUAGCCGGUCUGAGAGGAUGAACGGCCACAUUGGAACUGAGACACGGUCCAG